rnacentral:rRNA from 1 species
AUUAAACGCUGGCGGCAGGCCUAACACAUGCAAUUCGAACGAGCGGCGGACGGGUGAGUAAUGUAUGGGGAUCUGCCCGAUAGAGGGGGAUAACUACUGGAAACGGUGGCUAAUACCGUAUACUAUCGGAUGAACCCAUAUGGGAAUAGCUAAUAGGUGGGGUAAAGGCUCACCUAGGCGACGAUCUCUAGCUGGUCUGAGAGGAUGAUCAGCCACAUGGGGACUGAGACACGGGCCAGAUCCCUACGGGAGGCAGCAGUGGGGAUUAUUGCACAAUGGGGGCAAGCCUGAUGCAGCCAUGCCGCGUGUAUGAAGAAGGCCUUCGGGUUGUAAAUACUUUCAGCGAGGAGGCGUUACUCGCAGAAGAAGCACCGGCUUACUCCGUGCCAGCAGCCGCGGUAAUUC